rnacentral:rRNA from 1 species
GUAAGCAACGUGCCCUGAAGAUCGGGAUAUAACGGGGAAACCCGGAGCAAUACCGGAUGUGGCCGUUCCGAGGCAUCUCGGGACGAUUAAAUGGUUUUUCGCUUCAGGAGCGGCUUACGGCCUAUCAGCUAGUUGGUGAGGUAACGGCUCACCAAGGCUUCGACGGGUAACUGGUCUGAGAGGACGACCAGUACGAGUGGGACUGAGACACGGCC